GCNANGUGGAGAGGACCGUAUGGUCCGCCCGUCGGAUUCAGUCCGCCUGUGCGGCGCCGGCGUCGGUCGCGCAUCCCUCGUGGGAGCGCGCCGGCGUCCGGUCCGUCGUGCGGCGGCCGUACUUUCGGCGGGCGGAGCGCCACGACCGGUUCGUUGGCGGCGAGAAACUCCCGGGCAAGGUGACCUCCGCCUCGGCGCAGGAGCAUACAGGCCCGGUGAGCGUCGGCCCGUCGGCGGACCGAGGAAGACCGUCGCGGAGCGGCGUCGACCGCCCGUCGUGUGGUUGCGUUCGACUCGGGGGGACUGGUUCCAGUGCCCUCGGACCGCGCGGCCGCAGCGGCGGGACGGCCCGGCGUCGCGCCUGGGGUCGGUGGCGAAACGGCCGGCAACCUGUCCGACCCGUCUUGAAACACGGACCAAGGAGUCUAACAUGUGCGCGAGUCGUUGGGCGCUACGAAACCCGAAGGCGCAAUGAAAGUGAAGGCCCGGUCUCGUGCCGGCCUUGGUGGGAUCCGGGCGGCCCCGGCCGUCCGGCGCACCACCGGCCCGUCUCGUUCGCCGCGUCGAAGAGGCGGAGCAAGAGCGUACACGUUGGGACCCGAAAGAUGGUGAACUAUGCCCGAGUAGGACGAAGCCAGAGGAAACUCUGGUGGAGGUCCGCAGCGAUUCUGACGUGCAAAUCGAUCGUCAAACUUGGGUAUAGGGGCGAAAGACUAAUCGAACCAUCUAGUAGCUGGUUCCUGUCGAAGUUUCCCUCAGGAUAGCUGGCGCUCGUCACGAGCAGUUUUAUCCGGUAAAGCGAAUGACUG
rnacentral:rRNA from 1 species